AGCUUCUUGAAUCCGUGCUGAAAUUUCGUCAGACACCAACCUUUUAGGGAUAAUCAGACUUCCAAGAUAAGUGAAGUU
rnacentral:pre_miRNA from 1 species